CUCUCCCCACCCCCACAGGAAGGGACAGCUGAUGCACUAACGCAGUGGGCCCUGAGAGUGUAAGGCAGGGGAGGAGCCAGUCAAGAUGACAUCAGGAUACUCAGGAUUUCUCCUGAGGACAACGGUGAUUCACGGAAGAGUUUUAAGCAAGCCAAGGAACCCAUGGAGUUAUCCAUCUGGACAACACUUCCAAAAAGGAGAGCAGGGAAGGGAACUGCUAGCGCGAACCACAAAGGAACACUAGCUUCAAUUUUGACACGGUAA
rnacentral:lncRNA from 1 species